rnacentral:rRNA from 1 species
GACGAACGCUGGCGGCGUGCUUAACACAUGCAAGUCGAACGGAAAGGCCCUGCUUUUGUGGGGUGCUCGAGUGGCGAACGGGUGAGUAACACGUGAGUGACCUGCCCUUGACUUUGGGAUAACUUCAGGAAACUGGGGCUAAUACCGGAUAGGAGCUCCUGCUGCAUGGUGGGGGUUGGAAAGUUUCGGCGGUUGGGGAUGGACUCGCGGCUUAUCAGCUUGUUGGUGGGGUAGUGGCUUACCAAGGCUUUGACGGGUAGCCGGCCUGAGAGGGUGACCGGCCACAUUGGGACUGAGAUACGGCCCAGACUCCUACGGGAGGCAGCAGUGGGGAAUAUUGCACAAUGGGCGGAAGCCUGAUGCAGCAACGCCGCGUGCGGGAUGACGGCCUUCGGGUUGUAAACCGCUUUCGCCUGUUACGAAGCGUGAGUGACGGUAAUGGGUAAAGAAGCACCGGCUAACUACGUG